AUUGAACGCUGGCGGCGUGCUUAACACAUGCAAGUCGAGCGGAAAGGCUCCUUCGGGGGUACUCGAGCGGCGAACGGGUGAGUAACACGUGGGUAACCCACCCCGAUGAUUGGGACAACCCGGGGAAACUCGGGCUAAUACCAAAUGUGCUCGGCGACCAUGAGGUCGCCAAGUAAAGAUAGCUUCGGCCUUCGCAUCGGGACGGGCCCGCGGCCCAUUAGCUUGUUGGUGAGGUAACGGCUCACCAAGGCGACGAUGGGUAGCUGGUCUGAGAGGACGAUCAGCCACACUGGGACUGAGACACGGCCCAGACUCCUACGGGAGGCAGCAGUGGGGAAUCUUGCGCAAUGCGCGAAAGCGUGACGCAGCAACGCCGCGUGGAGGAAGACGGUCUUCGGAUUGUAAACUCCUUUCAGUUGGGACGAAGCUCAACGGGUUAAUAGCCCGGUGGAGUGACGGUACCUUCAGAAGAAGCCCCGGCUAACUACGUGCCAGCCGCCGCCGUAAUAC
rnacentral:rRNA from 1 species